rnacentral:rRNA from 1 species
UACGUAGGGUGCGAGCGUUGUCCGGAAUUACUGGGCGUAAAGAGCUCGUAGGUGGUUUGUCGCGUUGUUCGUGAAAACUCACAGCUCAACUGUGGGCGUGCGGGCGAUACGGGCAGACUGGAGUACUGCAGGGGAGACUGGAAUUCCUGGUGUAGCGGUGGAAUGCGCAGAUAUCAGGAGGAACACCCAUAGCGAAGGCAGCUUGCUGGGACGUUACUGACGCUAAGGCGCGAAAGCGUGGGGAGCGAACAGG